CUGUUAUACAGAGACAAAAAAUCAGAUGAGUGUCUGCACCCGCAAGGCGGUGCUCUUCAUGUAAAUAUGGCUGUUUCCAUUUCAGAUUUUGAGGAAGUGUUGUGGAAUGACUAGAUUUUCUUGAUUUGCAUUAUACUAGUGGUUAAUGUUUAUGAGAGGAUUAUUGUUAGCAAGUUAAGGGACUUUGUGAAUUGAGCAAAAAUUAUACCCUUGCGAAAAUUCUGCAUUUACAGUAUAUGAAAUGUACAUGGCUAUAAAAAUUAUAUUUGACACCAGUCUGAGAAGUGCAGAAUGUGAUUGGUUGUUUUUUUAUCACAAAUUUAGAACUGACCAAUGGUAAGCCUUCAGUCUGAGACUGGUCUCCAAACUCAAGUUUUAUCACCUUGGACCUUGAUGUUUGUGAUGAAUUACAACUGUAACCUGGACACAAGUAAUAGCACCCAGCACUAUAUCCAUGUAUUGAUAAGUUUCCUCUUUAUAGUUCCUCUUUAUUGGCAUAGAACACACCUAGAGAGCACAGCCAAGCAGGUUAGGAAGUGUGAACAGUCUUUGAUCCUUGUUGGUCUUGAUAUCUGCAGAAUAUGCUGUCAGUGAACAGGCUAUAAACUUGGCUGGAGAGGGACCACAGAUGAAGUCGAAUAUGAGAAAAGUCAGAUAUAAGAAAUCUUUGAAAGAUGUAAUGUGUCAAACUUGUGAUCACAAAAACAGACAUCCAGACAUGCAGAUACUUAAAGAUUCAUAUAAUUUUAACUGGAAAUUCACUGUCAGAUGAAAUACUAAGCUCUUGAUGCGGAAAUCCAAACUUUCCUAGGAACUGAUAUGUGAGGUAAACUUCAGUUACAGAUUUUCAGCAGCUGUUAGUGAUCAAGAAGGAAACUCAGUACCUGUUCUAAAUAUAGGACCCAGAGGAGCAGACAUGUGGACAAGAUUACAGAUCAAUGUGUGGUGACAUACUGCCCAAGAUUCAAGUUUGGAGAUAACACUGAUAGAUCUAGAUUUAAGUUUAAAAAUGAUUGUGACUUUAGACUGCAUGUACAUAGUUUCAGUCAAAGGCAUUUUUUCCUGUUUUUGUAUUUUAUUAAAAAACAUAAUUUUCAUAGUCUGGGAAUAAGUGCAAUGAAAACAAGUUUUUACUACAAAAAAUUUAAUCCAAAAAAGCAUUACAUUAUAUUGGUGACAGGUUUGCGGAAUUGACUGUGGAAAUGACUGUUUCACAUCUUUUAGAUAUAAAAAGAGAACUUUUUGAAUGAUAGUAUUUUUUGUCACAUGACCUUCUUGUACAUAAAAUGAUUGAACUUAUUUCCUAUGCAAUUUAAGGUAAUGUUUUCUGAGCAGUUAAUCAGAUUUUGCCAAGAAAUAGAUUAGUACCUUUUAGAUUUUCACCAGAGGCCAGUAUUUCUGAAACUUGAUUUUCUUAGUUUUCCAAACAAGAUAGAAAUAUUUUGCCUUAUUAAAGUCAUUUGACAAACAUACAUUGCCUAAGGAAAUAUAUAAAAUUAACACCUUGUAAAAGAUUUGCAUGAAUGGUUGUAUAUCUAGAUGGAAUUCAUUAGAAAUGCAUGUUUGAAAAAGUAUUAUUACCUCCCUUUGCACAAACAGGAUAGAUUGGAAAUAAAUCAAUUCAGAAGCUACACAGAGUUUUAAAACUUCACUUUGGAUUCAGAUUGUUAAAAUAGUCAGAUUUAUCAAAUGCAGAUGUAAAACUAGAAAAACUGGGAGAAACAUGUUGUUUUUGCCGUCCUUCUGUACGUCACAAUUCAUUUCGGAUUAAUAACUGAAGAACCAUUUGACCUAGAAUCUUCAAACUUCAUUGGGUGGCAGGACUCAUGAAGUAAACGACUCCUAUUGCUUUUUGGGUCACUCCAUCAAAGGUCAAGGUCACAGGGGCCUGAACAUGGAAAAUUUCCGAUCAAUAACUUGAGAACCACUUGACCCAGAUUGUUGAAACUUCAUAAUUAUGAUGAUUGGUCAUGCAGAGGAGAUGACCCUUAUUGAUUUUGGGGUCACUGCAUUAAAAGUCAAGGUCACAGGGACCUGAACAAGGAAAACCAUUUCCCGUCAGUAACUUGGGAACCACUUGACCGAGAACGUUUAAACUUAGUAGAAUGAUUGGUCAUGCAGAGGAGAUGACCCCUAAUAAUUUUAGGAUCACUCUGUUAAGGGUCAAGGUCACAGGGGGCUGAAUAUGGAAAACCGUUUCUGGUCAGUAACUUGAGAACCACUUGACCCAGAAUGUUGAAAUUUUAUAGGAUGAUUGGUCAUGCAGAGGAGAUGACCCCUUUUGAUUUUGGGGUCACUCUGUUAAAGGUCAAGGUCAUUGGAGCCUUAGCAUGGAAAACCAUUUCCAGUUUGUAAUUUGAGAACCACUUGGCCCAAAAUGUUGAAACUUCAUAGGAUUGGUGGACAUGCAGAGUAGAUAACCUCUAUUGAUUUUGGGAUCACUCUAUUAAAGGUCAAAGUCGCAGCAGAUAGAAAAUGGAAAUCCUUUUCCGGUUUAUUACUUGAGAACCAUUUGACUUAGAACAUUUAAACUUCAUAGGGAGCUAGAAAUUACAGAAUAGGUGACCCUAUUGUUUUUGCGGGUCAUGCCAUCAAAGGUCAGUGUCACAGUUGGCUGAACAUAGAAAACCCUUUCCAAUCAAUAACUUGAGAACCACUUGACCCAGAAUGUUGAAACUUAAUAGGAUGAUUGGACAUGCAGCAUAGAUGACCCCUAAUGAUUUUGGGGUCACUUGACGAAAGGUCAAGGUCACAGGUGCCCAAACAUGGAAAACCAUAUCCAAUUCAUAACUUUGGAACCACUCUGCCAAGAAUGUUGGAACUUUGUGGGAUGAUUGGAAGUAGGUGAUCACUAUUGCAGCCAGCCAUCAGUGUCCCUUUGACUUUCGCUCUUGUUCCCUAUUGAUUUCUUGCAUAUACGACUAUGCAUUGGGAGAGACAUGCGCUUUUUCUACUCUGACUAACAACAGGCUUCUUGCAGGCUUUGAAUUUUGGUUGUUAGCAUUGCAUUUGAAACAAAUAGUUAUGACUUUACCAGAUUUUGACUACAAUGAAAUAGGAUAUUUAAAAUUCAAAGGGAUCAAACUGUUGUAGGUAUAACUUGAGCUCCUGUCAAAACUGCCUGGUUACUAGACCGCUUG